ACGCAUCUGAAGAUGCAAAGACGGGGGACCUUCGGGCCUCUUGCGAUCUGGAUGUGCCGAUAGUGGGAUUAGGUAGUAGGUGGGGAUAAAGNGCUUACCUAGGCGACGAUCUCGUAGCUGGUCUGAGAGGAUGACCAGCCACACUGGNACUGAGACACGGUCCAGACUCCUACGGGAGGCAGCAGUGGGGAAUAUUUGGACAAUGGGCGCAAAGCCUGAUGCAGCCAAUGCCGCGUGUAUGAUGAAGGCCUUCGGGUUGUAAANUGCUUUCAGUAGCGGGAAGGAAGNGAAGUUGCGNCUAAUACGAAAAGGCCACCAUGACGGUACCGGGUAAGAAUAAGCAACUGGUUAAUUAGGUUGCAAAAGAACAGAAGGAAAUACGGUACNCGGGUCGACGAAGCCCGUAAAAAUCCCGGGAAAUUUAAACUUGGGGGGCAGGUUAAAAAAAGGCACGGUUGGCAGAACAAGGGCAGGGGACCNAAGAGGUUAAAGACCCAGAACUUGGUCACGAAACAAUACCCCCCCGGGGGCACCAACCCCCUUGGGGAAACACAGGGCCUUNCAGGGAAGAAACCUAGGACAAACAGGCUANNACAGGAU
rnacentral:rRNA from 1 species